rnacentral:lncRNA from 1 species
AGUCCCUGGAGCUGCAAACUGCCCUCAGGGCAAAGAAGCCUGCAGAAUAAUUGGGAGGAGUCUGGCAGGAAGGAAGCCAAGUUUCCUGAGGCCCUCACCAGAAGCUCAUCAGAAGCAGAUGCUGGCACCACUCUUCUUAUGCUGUCUGCGUAACUAAUCAGUAUUUCAAGCAUCCAAAAUGUGUAGGAGAAUAUGGACCCAAGAACGGAGCAGAGAGACAAAUAGAGGAACGGAAAGUUUUGCCUACAACCAUGAUGUUCUCAAUGUUAGCUGACUGUGUUCUAAAAUCCACUCCAAUUCCCAUUUUGGGAGUUGCUAUGUGAUGAAGGUCUGCCCCUGUGGUGUUGGGACAACUUGCUCAUGGAGUUGCAGUUCUUGCCUAACAGGAACCCACCAUGAAAGCACAAGCAAGAAUGUGUGAGAAGAUCACAGAGACCUAAAGAAGGGGAAGGGAAGAACCCACAUGUGAGAGAGAAGAGAUUGUCUGACUUGGUCUCUUAGGGCUCCUCAUCUCAAGAAGCCAGCAGGCAAGGGAAGGACAAACCAUCCUUGCAGGAAUAAUUCGUACUGAUCAUUUGGAGGAGAUUCGGCUAGUAUAGCUGCUGUUACAUAAUGAAGAAAAGGAAGAAUAUGUUUCAAACUCAGAUGAACCACUGGGGAGUCUCUUGAUACUCUGUUGCCUAAUUUGGAUGGUUAAUGGGUAAGUGCAAUAGACACAGCCUCAGAAAGGCGUGGUAAUCAGAGACUUAAAUCCUCAGUUUCCAUAGUUAAGCUACUAAGAUCAUGAGAGGUGCUUCCUAGGAGUGAAGAGAAUCGGAAUGUCUAGGAAGGACAUCAUGAAAACUAGUUGUGCUCUUAAACCUAACUACAGUUGAUCCUCAAGGACUUGAGAGUUAGGAGCUCUGACCUCUGAGUAGGCAAAAAUUCACAUAUAACUUUUGGCUUUCCAAAACCUUAACUCAUAAUAGACUACUGUAGAGAAGGUUUACCUAUAAUGUAAACAGUUGAUUAACACAUAUGUUACGUUAUAUGCACUGUAUUCUUAUAACAAAGCAAGCUACGGAAAAGAAAAUGUUAUUAAGAAAAUCAUGAAGAAAA